rnacentral:tRNA from 1 species
GAGGCAUAGCUCAGCUGGUAGAGCAUCCGCCUCACACGCGGGAGGUCACAGGUUCGAGUCCUGCUGUCUCC